ensembl:lncRNA
GGUUAUUGCUUCGAAUAAUAUCUGUAAUAAUAAUCCCAUAAUUAUCUGUAAAAAUGUGUGGGAGCUCGGCUAAUAUGUUUCUAUAGUAUUUAAGCGUCUACUAUUUAUGACAACAUAAACCGAAAUGGAAAUUAAGAUCAAAAUGUGUGAGUAUUGUGAUGGUGAUAUUGACCCAUGGGUCAAACACGAGAUGUCCCAUUUUGGUGUGCGCAUCAAAUUCAAUUUACAGAAGUGAUUUUAUAUACAUAGAAUAAUGCAUAUUAAAUGCAAGCACUUUAAUGUUUCAAAUAACUCAAAUGUGUGAAAUGUUCCAUCGUCAUAGUGCAUGAACAUAUAUGUAAAAAUGAAGCAACAUUCGUAUUACAAUUUCAAUUAUUUGUUUUUUUUAGGUCCUGCACUGGGAUAAAUGUUUGAUAGUCAUUUUUUUUUUUUUUUUUUUUUUGCUCAGAAAAAGAAAUGUUAUUAAUCCAGAGGACACAUUCUAAUGUAUGGAAACAUGUAAAGCUGUACUAAACAGCUCUUUGGUUCGAUGUUUGAAAACCCUUUUUCGUCUUUGACCCUUAUGCAACGGACUCGAAAAACAAUUCUUUGCAUUCAUUCAUUCACCAGGCUUUCAGUUUAACGAAAACAGAAGAAGCCACGCUUAGAUGAGUAAAUUAAUUAUUGAAGACAUCACGCACUAAAAAUAAGAGGUUCGCCACGUGCGCACCACAUGUGACCAAUUUCCUCACGCAUUAAAAUCGUUCUUUUCUAACGACAUCUAACUUACAGCAGCUCACGUAGACCUCGAGUCAAAGUAUUAAAAUAUAAUCCACAAACUCUCUUGACCUUAGUUUGUAAGGCUGGUACUUUACUCACUACAAAAAAAAAAAAAAAAAAAAAACUUGUCGGAUGGACGAGGCGUGUCUAAUGAAUAUUUAAUAAGUUUACCUUCUCGCCGUCCAAUGGUGAAGGCGUCGGCUCCUGAAUAUUAAGUGGAAUUCGAAACUUCUCGGGGCGGCGCUCACUAUUGACGUCAUCUCCCCCCGCCCUGCGUGUCAGUUCCACGCUACUGUCUUCUUGUGAAUGGGUCAAGAGACUAAACAAACAGAAAGCUACCCGGUCUCUCGGUUUUAAACGGUCAGCCCAUGUCCUUCCGUUCAUUCCGGACUGUCAGAUAACGGACCUGUCACGCGCCGACACACCAAGAACUCUCAAAUUUGCUCCUUAACAGCUCGUUAAUCUUGACGCAAGAAAAACUGUUUCCAGUUCCAGCCUUUACCCAUUUACCCAAUAACACAGGUGAAGGAGACUCAUAUUUUCUAGAUUAUUCGUGAUUAAUCGUAUCCAAAAUAAGUUUUUUUUAUAUAUAUAUAAUGUGUGUGGGUACUGUGUAUAGCCUGUUUAUUAUGUGCAUAUAAAUACACACACAUGCAUGUAUAUAUUUAAGAAAAAUAUGUUCGGUUUAUAUAUUAAAUAUAUUAAUAUAUGAUGUAAAUUGUAUUGUAAAGUAAUGUAAAUACAGGUUUUAGAUAUUUCUGUUAUAAAAAAUUUAUGCUGUAUGUGUGUGUAUUUAUAUAAACAAUAAAUAUACACAGAACAGAACA